GUAACAAAAUUUGAGUCAUUCCGCUGCAGUCAGGAUCAUCAUGACGUCAGAGAGGUCAUGCCUACCCCUCCCACACCUGGAGAGCUGCUGACAUCCAUUGCUGAGGUUCAAUGAGGUCCAGCAAGGCCAGUGCUGGGUCCUGCCCUGGGGUCACAGCAACCCCAGGCAGUGGCACAGGCUGGGGCAGAGUGGCUGCAGAGCUGCCACAGGAAAAGGAGCUGGGGGUGCUGCUGACAGCAGCUGAACAUGAGCCAGCAGGGCCCAGGUGGCCAAGAAGGCCAAUGGCAUCCUGGCCUGGACCAGCAAUGGUGUGGCCAGCAGGAGCAGGGCAGGGAUUGUCCCCUGUACCCAGCACAGGUGAGGUCACCAGUGUCCAGUUGCAUCCUGUGUCCCCUCACUGCAAGAAAGACAUUGAGGUGCUGGAAUGUGGCCAGUGAAGGACAACGAAGCUGAUGAAGGGUCUGGAACAUAAAUCCUAUGAAGAGUGGCAGAGACAGCUUGGGAUUGUUUAGCCUGGAGAAAGGUAGAUUCAGGGGGUACCUUACUGCACUCUACAACGGCUUGAAAGGAGGUUGUAGCCAUAUGAGGAGUCAGUCUCUUCUCCCAGAAAACUAGUGACAAGAGGAAAUGGUCUCAAAUUGCAUCAGAGGAGGUUUACAUUUGAGAUUAGGAAAAAUUUCUUCACAGAAAGACUGGUUAAGCAUUGGAAUCAUUGGCUGCCCCAGGGAACUGGUGGAGACUACUCCUGGAGUAUUCAAAUGGUAGUAAAUGUGGCAAUUCAUGAUGUAUUUUAGUGGGUAUAAUGGUAUUACAUCAAAUGUUGGACUUGAUAAUCUUGGUAUUUUUCAACCUUAAUGAUUCUAUGAUUAAGGUAAUGGUCUAUAAGGAUUUAGCAGAAAAGAGACACUUGAGUGACAUAUCACUUUCCACAAUGCUGAAAAUCAGAAUAAAACUAAGUCAUACAAAAAUUAUUAGGUCUUUGCACCAUCAAGAUGUCAGUUCAGCCUUAUGUUAUACCUUCCCAGGUGACAUGUUCCAUGGGUGGAUAUCUAGUGGAAACCUCUCUGUGUAGCUGGAAGAAAGAGUGUGAGAUGGAUGCCUGGGAAAGGCUGAGAUGUAGAAAUAAGUCAGUAUGGGCUAGCUGGUGAAUUUAUAUUGUUUUCAGAACAGAGAUUUAAUGAAGAGAGGCAAAUGCUCUGCUCCAGCUCUACCAUGCAUGAGACUCCAUGGAAAAGCUUUCAGACCAGUUCCACAAUACUUUCUUGAUUUCAGCUCCAUGGAUAAUUCAAAGGAAGAAAUGUAUUUCACUGCAGGAGAAAGGAACCUAGCUUGACAGCAACAAAAUCUUUCUGUUGUGUCUCUUGUCCUCUUCCACUAUUUUCCUCUCAGUUCAUCAUCACCUCCCAGGUGAAAAUAUGAAUGCAAAUCUCAAUUUUCUUCACAGCAACCCAAAUGGUGCUGUGUUUUGGAUUUGUGAGUAAACCAAUGUUGAUAACACAGUAGUAUCUUGGCAAAUGCUCAGCAGUGCUUGCCCAGCAUUAGUUUCUCUUUCUCCCAUUCUGCCCUCAGAGAGUAGGCUGAUGGUGGUCAAGAAGCUGAAUGGGAACACAGCCAGGAUAUCUGAAUGAAACUGACUAGAGGGUUACUCCAAGCUCUAUAAUAUCAUGUUUAAUAUAAAAAGAGAGAAGUAGAUUUCUCUGGAGAGAGAGAGAUUGUCCAGAGACUGGCUGGACAUUGGCCAGCUUGUGGGAGAUGAUGAAUGAUGGCCUCUACAUCUCUCUGCAUUUUUUGUUGAUUUUUUUCUUCCUUUUUACUAAACUCCCUUUAUUAUAACCCAUGAAUCUUCUGGUUUUUGCUCUUCCUACUCCCUCUUCUGUACUCUCUGCAGUGUAAAGGAGGAAUGAGCAGAGAGCUGUAGGGUGCUUAGUUACUGGCCAGAGUCAUCUGUCACUCAUGAUGUGUUCUCAAGUGAUGACUGCCUCACCAUUUCCUACUUUUGUGAUGUUCCCAUAUUUCAGUCUUACAAGUCUCUCCAAAGCUCUGCUGACUUCCACUGCUAUGAUAUUGGCCAAAUGUCUGUCCAGCUGCUGACAAACUCAUCUACCUUAACAGGACAAGAAGAUAAAUAGGAUGAAAAGUCUCCUUUUGUUUCUCACUGUUUUUUAACCCCUCCUCUUCUGACUGGCUGGCACUUUUUCCCUCUCUUCAGUUUCUUCCCCAGAGAAGUCACCAUCUUGGUCUGUGGUGGAUUUGUUGGAGCCACAUAAAAUCAUGUGUUUCCAGUAUGAGGCAGCUGCAACCUCUCCUCACUCAAGUUGCCCCUGUACCUGCUGGGCAUAUCCAUCUUACACAGGUGUGAAGGAGACACAUCUCACAUGUACACCCUGGGAAAGGGGUCUUUGAAUAUGGCCUCUAGAAACUGAAUUCCAUGAAACUUCAGGGAAAGCCUGUACAAUUUUUUUUUUCUUCUUCAUGGAAGACAGCAAGAGAGAGCUUUUAUUCCAGAAUUGCUGCAUUGCUGUGAUACUUUGGAGGAUCUUCCUGGCUGAUCCUAAAGGAUAUUGAACCAAUUUACUGUAAAGUGAGAGAGGAGAAGCCACCUGACAAAAGAUUCCAGGUGUUUGGUCUUGCCUGCAUCAGCCUCUGGUCUUGGCUUUCAGCCAACCUGUCAGGUUAGCUUUGGUGAAAAAGAGGAGUGCCCGUCAAAAACAGAGGUAGUACUGGGUGAGCUAACUCAGUGGCUUCAGGAAGAUCUUCCUCUAAGCUGAAAGGCUACCUGCAGAGAAUGUUUGUCUUCUAUAGUAGGAUGUUGGAAGAGAAGCAAAGGAGUGAAAGCAAGAAAACUCAUGAGUUUAUGCAAAAACUGUCUGAUAAACUAAGGGAUUGUAGAAGAAGAGAGAAAGAAAACAGAACAAAACAGGUGGUACAAAGGAGAACAUCUUAGACCUAAAUUACCUUCUCGCUUCUGUGUCCAUGACCAAGGACCAUUCUAAAGGUCAUUACUGGGGAUCAUUCAAAAAAACAUGAAUACAAUGUUAUGACAUAAGAAAUAAGUUUUCUGGAGAGUAGAAGCUUGGGUGGCAUUUCUGAUGACAUUUCUUCAAGCAACUUUGGAGAAGCAGCCCAGUAGCUCAUUUUAGAUUUCUUCAUGGAUCAUCACUAGCUGACACUAGCCACUGUGUUAAUCUGAAGGACAGCUCAGAGAUAAGAGAGUCACUGUCUCAUGAAUCUUGCAGUCUACAUAUUUUUCUAAAUUCUGCCAUGAAACUCCUUGCCACUUUUUCCAAAAUCUACAGAAGGACAUCCAAGCAAUGAGAGAUUAAGAGAAUGAUGAAGGUUUAGAUUGUAAUUUUCCUCUGAUCUAGUGCUAAACAUGCUGUCAAGACUCUGAAAUGCAGGAGAUGUCUCUGAAAAUACUCUGUAACUUGUCUUACUCUGUAGUGGGCUCUUUAAUUUAGAAAUCACCAGUACAGUAGUCAAUGACUAUUUAUUAACUGUUUAUCUAGAGGACUAAUGUAAUAAAUAUGUUCCUGCCUAGAUACGACUUUUCAGAGGGGGACUGAUGAAAUACUCUUCUCUGUAUUUAUGAUUCUUUCUACUUUUCAAGUUGUCUUGUUGAAGAAGGAAAAUUAAAGUACUAAUACACAA